GCUUACCCCUGGAAGGGAAUUCGAUGGAUUUUCGAUGCCCCCAUCCGCCUUGCGCCCCUCGGGGCGCGGGGUGGACUCGAGGCGGGCUCCGCGAUCCGGGCGUGCCUCGCGAUUCGUCGCGCGGCCGUCGUGGCUCGUGGGGUCUUCGCCCGUUCUCUCGGAUGCGGAAUGUUGUGCGUGGGCGCGGGGCCUCGGCCUCGCUUCGUCCAAGCUGAGCAUUCGUCCCUAGACGCGAACGACUGCCGCGCCCGUCUUGACCGCCGGAGGGCGUCUCAUGCGGGCGUCGGCGUCGCGAAAGGAAUGCUACCUGGUUGAUCCUGCCAGU
rnacentral:misc_RNA from 1 species